AACGAACGCUGGCGGCAGGCUUAACACAUGCAAGUCGAACGCCCCGCAAGGGGAGUGGCAGACGGGUGAGUAACGCGUGGGAAUCUACCUAGUUCUACGGAACAACUGAGGGAAACUUCAGCUAAUACCGUAUACGCCCUACGGGGGAAAGAUUUAUCGGAAUUGGAUGAGCCCGCGUAAGAUUAGCUAGUUGGUGAGGUAAUGGCUCACCAAGGCGACGAUCUUUAGCUGGUCUGAGAGGAUGAUCAGCCACACUGGGACUGAGACACGGCCCAGACUCCUGCGGGAGGCAGCAGUGGGGAAUCUUGCGCAAUGGGCGAAAGCCUGACGCAGCCAUGCCGCGUGAAUGAUGAAGGUCUUAGGAUUGUAAAAUUCUUUUACCAGGGACGAUAAUGACGGUACCUGGAGAAAAAGCCCCGGCUAACUUCGUGCCAGCCGCCGCCGUAAUAC
rnacentral:rRNA from 1 species